rnacentral:lncRNA from 9 species
AGGGGCGAGGUCGGCCGCUGCCCCAGGAGGAAGCCGGGGCCGGGCCGGGAAGGUGCAAAUCUCUGCACGUGAGCCUGCCAGCCUCGUCUCAUCACAACCCUGUGUGUUUUGACUGAGAAGCUCUACCUGCCUCUCGGGAUUGAUGUGAAGAUUAAUGCCUGUUUAGCAAAUUACAGCUUCCCCGGCACCUCCUGCUCCUGGGAGAGAAGGAGCCUUGGAAACGGAAAAUAAAAACAAAUCUCAGCGCUCCGUGUCAAGGCUUGGCCGUGGCCAUGACAGCUGGGCCCGACUCGACAGAGCGUGGAGGCUUAGCAAAGCCAGGAGCUGUGCUGGUGAGAUUUCUGGUCUCAAGAAUCAGAGAGGAGAGGCCCAUCAAGCUGAGAUACCGGGGAGGCACCUGACGGAGCUGUGUCUGCCAAGCCUGCCUUGUGUCCAGGAAUGAAUGACUGAGUGAAUGAACUCGUCCAUCACUAAUGUCUUUGGCCUUGCUCUAAACAGAAGCUUCUCUGCUUAUGAAAUUUUGGUCCACAAACUCUGAUGGAGCACCAG